rnacentral:lncRNA from 1 species
AGAAACUCCUAUUGAUUUUUAAAUCUUGUAAAGGAAUCUUUCAUUCUCAACACAAAUUCAAUAAAUAAAAUAGUAGGUAAUAACCAACUAUUGUUAAUUAUAUCACUGAGUAAGUCUAUCGAAUUCAUUAGAGAUUAUGGCGGGUGAUAUUCAACAUGACACAUUAAGGUCUCAGAUUAAUAAUGAUUCCUAUGUUUGUAAAAACCAACUAUUGUUACAUAACAUAUGUAUACAUGUAAUAGUAUGUUGUUUAAGGAUUUAUAUCUUAAAGCAAGUUUUAUUAUAUUUCUAAAUUUCCUAAUGCAUCGAGUACUAAAGUGGACAUCUUAAAAUUUAUUCGCGACAUAUAUUUGAAUGUGUUACAUUUAUGAUAUUUUAAAUGACAAAUAUGGCGUGGUUGUUAAAUAUUUGAAAAAUGAAACCAAACACUUAACAAGUGAAGUGUAAAAACGUAUCCUCCUGUAACAUUUGAAAUUUUUUCUUGUAUGCAUGAAUCUCGAAUUUAGACUAACGACAAUUUUUAUUUCUAAUAUAAAUAAUCUCAAUUAUAAUUUCUAUUUUGAAGAUUGAUGUUUAUGAUAUAAAUGCGGCAAAUUAGAAAUAUGUCAUAUAAAAUGGCGACGACGACUAUAUUUAUUAAUUUUGUUUAUAAGAUUGGAACUUUGUCCGUUAAAGUUCGAAGCUAAAGUCUACCAUUUAAAACCAUAUAUAUGAUGUUUUUACCCUAAAAGAUAAUAUUUGACAUUUUUUUUAUUAACUUGGUUCUCCAUAUAUUACUCAGAUGACAAUAAGAAAUACACAAAUCUAUGUCUCUAAUUAUAUUUUAUCAUCAACACACCUAUACGAACAUAAAGAUGUUUGUCAUGAAUGUCCAAAUGUUAUAUUAGUGUUAAUUUAGCAUGUUUGUUUAAAUUGCUGGUCUUCAUGUCACUCUAGUCCUUGGUUUUCUCAUGCCACCGCAUAAUCAACAGAUGUCCAUCUAGUUCUUUAAUAAUAAUAAAAGGUUUCAAAUAGAAGUAGAAACAUCUACAAAUAAAAAUAAAUUAUCAGCUCCAAAGAAAAAACAACUAAUGACUUGUUCCAAAUUAUGUUUUUAACCAUAAAAUUUAGUUAAUCAAGGAAACACGGUAGAGAGAGGUUAUGGAAGAAUAAUCUAUCUCAUAAUUCCUCGACCGUGAUAUCCUUGAUUAAAAAAAUUCCAUGGACAAAUUAAAAUCACCACUUCAUUGUGUAGUUGAAACAAGAUCUACAAAAAGAAUGUUAUUUAUCUUCUCUCUGCCAAAUUAGCAUUUUAUAGAUCCAUAAAGUUUAAGAAAGUAUCUUUUUUUUGAUAAUAAAUGAAUUUCAUAAAAUUAAAAUGAUAUUAUAAUUUAAAAAGGCACAAUCGUAUUCUUUUAAAUAUGUAAAUGUAGUAAAAAUAUAGUCAAGUAAAAAUAAUCAUGUUUUUAUUAAAAUCAUUUAAAAUUUUGAGAUUUUAAAAAAAAUGUUUUUAUAGAUACUUUAAUAUUUUUUCCAGAUUAAGUUAAAGAUUGACCAAGAAGUAAAGAAAUGGAGGUUUUGGUAAAGUAGAAAAUAAAAGGAGAUUUGGUUUUUCUUUUUAACAUAAAUACUAUUUUUAUUUUAUGAGAAACUCCUAUUGAUUUUUAAAUCUUGUAAAGGAAUCUUUCAUUCUCAACACAAAUUCAAUAAUAAAAUAGUAGGUAAUAACCAACUAUUGUUAAUUAUAUCACUGAGUAAGUCAUAUCGAAUUCAUUAGAGAUUAUGGCGGGUGAUAUUCAACAUGACACAUUAAGGUCUCAGAUUAAUAAUGAUUCCUAUGUUUGUAAAAACCAACUAUUGUUACAUAACAUAUGUAUACAUGUAAUAGUAUGUUGUUUAAGGAUUUAUAUCUUAAAGCAAGUUUUAUUAUAUUUCUAAAUUUCCUAAUGCAUCGAGUACUAAAGUGGACAUCUUAAAAUUUAUUCGCGACAUAUAUUUGAAUGUGUUACAUUUAUGAUAUUUUAAAUGACAAAUAUGGCGUG